UUAUUGAUAGUACCUUACUACUUGGAUAACCGUGGUAAUUCUAGAGCUAAUACAUGCUAAAAACCCCGACUCCGGAAGGGGUGUAUUUAUUAGAUAAAAAGCCAAUGCCCUUCGGGGCUCCUUGGUGAUUCAUAAUAACUCAACGAAUCGCAUGGCCUUGCGCCGGCGAUGGUUCAUUCAAAUUUCUGCCCUAUCAACUUUCGAUGGUAGGAUAGUGGCCUACCAUGGUAUCAACGGGUAACGGGGAAUUAGGGUUCUAUUCCGGAGAGGGAGCCUGAGAAACGGCUACCACAUCCAAGGAAGGCAGCAGGCGCGCAAAUUACCCAAUCCCGACUCGGGGAGGUAGUGACAAUAAAUACUGAUACAGGGCCCUUACGGGUCUUGUAAUUGGAAUGAGUACAAUUUAAAUCCCUUAACGAGGAACAAUUGGAGGGCAAGUCUGGUGCCAGCAGCCGCGGUAAUUCCAGCUCCAAUAGCGUAUAUUAAAGUUGUUGCAGUUAAAAAGCUCGUAGUUGAACCUUGGGCCUGGCUGGCCGGUCCGCCUCACCGCGUGCACUGGUCCGGCCGGGCCUUUCCUUCUGGGGAUCCGCAUGCCCUUCACUGGGCGUGUCGGGGAGCCAGGACUUUUACUUUGAAAAAAUUAGAGUGUUCAAAGCAGGCCUUUGCUCGAAUACAUUAGCAUGGAAUAAUAGAAUAGGACGUGCGGUUCUAUUUUGUUGGUUUCUAGGACCGCCGUAAUGAUUAAUAGGGAUAGUCGGGGGCAUCAGUAUUCAAUUGUCAGAGGUGAAAUUCUUGGAUUUAUUGAAGACUAACUACUGCGAAAGCAUUUGCCAAGGAUGUUUUCAUUAAUCAGUGAACGAAAGUUAGGGGAUCGAAGACGAUCAGAUACCGUCGUAGUCUUAACCAUAAACUAUGCCGACUAGGGAUCGGGCGGUGUUAUCUUUUUGACCCGCUCGG
rnacentral:rRNA from 1 species